CGGAAGGGCUGCGUGCCGGCGCUCGCGCGACCGCGGCAAGGCAGUGUAUCAGCGCCGCCUCGCCGGUGAUGGACCGGUGAUGGCGCCGGGAGCGAACACGCAGCGGAAGGCGCAUGGCCACCUUGCCUUGCGUGACUGCGGCAUUCAGAGGAGGACUGCGUGUCAUUUCAUUUAAGGAAGAAAAAGGGGGUGAGUACCGGAGCUUAGAAAAAGUCCCGCACUCAGUACAACAUACACACUAGUUUGUUACUUAUAACACAAACCAAACGAGACCACAACCCGAAAAGAAAAAACAGGACUCAAACGGCCUGUUGGGACGACCUAGCCAGGAGCUCCUUGAGCUUGGUGGCUCCUGCCGAACACCACAACUCUGCCUGUACAUGGAAUCAAUGAUCCGAGCUCAGUAUUGUAUAGCAAAUUGAGAAGCAACAAGGCGAGAUAGUGACCACUGACUAGAUCGGCACAGGAAGCAAGUGAUCUGUGUGAAUUGAUUCAAUGGAAACACAAAGCCCUUAAGGCCAGGGAAGGGCAACAUCAUUGAGACAUGAAGGAAUUCUGAAUCGCCAUGGGAGCUGCAACGCUUCGCGUGUCUCGAGUACAUGCGAUGCUAGUCCUGUGCAUCUUGCUGCCGUCGUUUCUACCUGUUUCCCUCUCUGCCCGUCCAGUGGUUGAUGGCAAACUGGAGGGGACGACUGUGCCUUCCCGGCAGAUGCUAGGAGGUCAUCAGUUAAUUCGCAAUGGCUCAAUGAGACGGGAUCGAAUUUUGUGGCAUGGCGGUCCUGACUGGGGACACCCCGUUCCCAUCAACUCAGCACGGAAAACCACACGAGGAAAGCCUGGCAAUUGAUAUUCUCGACCGGAAAAGAGUGAACGGUACCGGUGGAGUGAAUUCAUGGUAGAUGUGCUCCAUGGAGAGGGUAUAAACUGUUGAAUGAUGUACUAUAGUACUAGGAUGACAUUACUUUGUCCCAUGACUGCCAUCAUUUAUCUGUUCUUGUACUGAGAUGUUCUAGCAACUUAUAAGCAAACUGUA